AUGAAAUUAACUGUUGAGAAAAAAAUCAUGUGACUAAGAAAAUUAAUUUACAUAGAGAAAAAUAAGUAUGACUUGUUCAAUAUGAGAAAUAAGCACUUUUUGGUAUACAGUCAGAAGCAAAAAGUGAUUGUAUUCCAAUUUAAAUGAAUACAACAUAAUUGAAGAGGAACAGAGUAUAUUUGAUCGAUUUUGCGUUUUUGUAUUCGAAUUUGCUUGGCUUUCGAUUUUGUAACAACCAGAGUGUAAAUUUGCAACAAAAAGAUUUUUAGGGAGUGAUUUCAGCUAAUUUACUAUAACAGAAAAGAUCAGUUCCUUGUUU
rnacentral:lncRNA from 1 species